rnacentral:rRNA from 1 species
UGGGAAUUGCAUUCGAUACUGGUUGGCUAGAGUAUGGGAGAGGAUGGUAGAAUUCCAGGUGUAGCGGUGAAAUGCGUAGAGAUCUGGAGGAAUACCGAUGGCGAAGGCAGCCAUCUGGCCUAAUACUGACGCUGAGGUACGAAAGCAUGGGGAGCAAACAGGAUUAGAUACCCUGGUAGUCCAUGCCGUAAACGAUGUCUACUAGCCGUUGGGGCCCUUGAGGCUUUAGUGGCGCAGCUAACGCGAUAAGUAGACCGCCUGGGGAGUACGGUCGCAAGACUAAAACUCAAAUGAAUUGACGGGGGCCCGCACAAGCGGUGGAGCAUGUGGUUUAAUUCGAUGCAACGCGAAGAACCUUACCUGGCCUUGACAUACAGAGAACUUUCCAGAGAUGGAUUGGUGCCUUCGGGAACUCUGAUACAGGUGCUGCAUGGCUGUCGUCAGCUCGUGUCGUGAGAUGUUGGGUUAAGUCCCGCAACGAGCGCAACCCUUUUCCUUAUUUGCCAGCACUUCGGGUGGGAACUUUAAGGAUACUGCCAGUGACAAACUGGAGGAAGGCGGGGACGACGUCAAGUCAUCAUGGCCCUUAC